CUUCAACAUCUCUUCUGUGUCUCUUGUAACUCAACCACAACAACAACAAUGGCGAGCACCAAAGUUCAGAGGAUUAUGACUUAACUUGAUUUUCAGGUUUCUUCAAAGCGGUUUUGAUUAGUACAUGAACUUGGUUCUGGAUGAUGCUGAAGAAGUCCACAUCAAGAAAAAGACCAGAAAGUCAUUGGAGGGAAGUGAUGAUUCAUCCAAGGGACGAUUUAUAUUGGCAUUAAGCCCCUUCUAAUUAGCGUGUUGAUUGAGCCAUUUAGACUAUGCUACUAUCUUUUAUAUACUGGAUGGAUUUCAUUUAUGAUGAGCUGCUUUAAUAUGGGCAUAAGACAUUAGAUGGUACUGUCCAUUUUGAAUAUUUUUAU